UUGCUGAUCGCAAAGCUGUGUUUUUUUUUUUUCACAAGAUACCUGCUUGUAGCAUGGCUAUUUUGUGAUUGAAAUAAAACAUUAUUGUACAAGAGCUGUUGCGCUUUUUCUAUGGCCACAUUUCAACAGUGUUUAAGAGAUUGCCUUUCAUCUGUUGCUGUAUAUCUGCAGUAUUGUUGAAAAUUAUAUGGUAUCCAGCUUCAAUCUGUUGCUGUUAAGCCUGGGUGCUACCUGUGACAGGAGGAGCUAACAGAGUUUGUCCCCGGGGAGAGGGUGGAUGGCAGAAUCACUAACCGGCGGCAGAAAACAGAGGAUCAGCUCAGGGAAGAGGAAGAGACUGUAUAAGUCAUUGGCAGCAAAUUUUUCAGGUCACUAGCAUUGAAGAAAUUGGGAGGCGGUGGUGAUGAUGACAGAUAGAAAGAAGGACAGGAAGAAAUGGAGUAAGAAAGUCAAAGAGAGAAUGAGGCAGAGAAGAGCAGAAAGAGAAAAGAGGGGAGAUUGAGAGCAGCGUAAUGCCAUGCACAUCGAAUUUCCCUUAAUAUGAUUUUGUGUUCUGUGUCUAUUCAAGUCAGCCCUGAUUUGGUUGUGUGUUAUAAUCGCAUCAGAGCAGGGAUUUGCUCUGGCUUUUUCACUGCUGUUGUGUUGUUUUUUUCCUCUUAUUGGAGUUGGCAUCAGCCUUCAUGACACAAAUCCCCUCUGAUAAAUUAAAAAUGAUUGAUUCAGAGUCAAAGAUGGAAACUGCACCGCAGGCAGCGAGCAAGUGUCCCCACUUGUGUCCGCACACAAGUGCGUGUUUUUAAGUGCAUGCAUGUGCACGAGUGCCGCACUGUAACAUCGAGUGCAAUCCCCAGUUCACGCAAGCGUGUAAGUGCUGUCGCUGAAGUGAAUGCACGAGUACAGUAUGCCUGUACAUUUGUGGGUUCUGCAAGACGGAAGGGUGGGCUCAUUCCAUUGGAUUUCUGACACUUGUAAAGAAUGUGAGAAGAUGGCAGAUAUCCGAUGUGCGAACCUCAAAGCCAUCAGCGUGCAUGUAAUGCUCUAAGCUGCGUAUCUUGCCAACAUCAACUAAAAGCGUGAAAUUCUGGACCAAAAAGUGUGAAAAUCUACCAAGAACACGGAGUGAGCUGUGAAUACCUACAUUAGCGCCAUUACAUACAUUUAUGUACUGACAUACAAUAUGUAGGCUUGAUUAAGUGAGUAUAUAUAUAUAAGUCUACUUUGUCUUACAUUCACUUACUCCUCCUAAAACAGAUACACACUCUUUUUGACACACACCCUCGUUGUGGGCUCUGGCUCUCCCAAUUAAGCGGAGGAGUGUUGUGGAGCAUCGGUGUCGGGGGAUUCUGCUUUCUUCUCCUCUGUCAGGUCCCAUCACAAAGGCUCCUCAUUAGUGUCAACCUCAACUGUGCCACCACUUUCUCCUUCCCUCUUCCUCUCUGCCUCUCCCCUGUCUCUUCGACUUUUCCUCCCUCUCUCUCCACAUCUCCAUCUCUCCCCUGUCUUCCCCCUGUUUGACUUAUUCACAUUGCAUUUAUUGCUGAAUACCUUUCCUGAAAGCCACUGCUGAUCACUCUGUUGUCACUCCUGUAGCGUCCAGCAUUGCCGUUGUCUGCCUCUCACUGCCGUUCCAGUGAAUCUCAUCUCUCAUCCAGACGGCAGAGCUGCCGGCAGCAUCACACGGUGAGAGCGGUUUGUCACAUCCGCGACGUUGACAACAAACAGGGCCUUUGAAGAGACUGUCAGCUGAACUGAAGUUUGCGAGUAAUCGAGGUAAUCUCUGGGAGGAGAAGAGAGGAAAGGAGAGGAGAUGAGGAGUGUGGAGGAGCAGGCAGAGAGGGUCUGCCAGCACAUCAGAUCAGAGCUUACAUAAAAGCAGAAUUCAUGCGUAUAACAACGAUGCCACUUCAAGCCAAGUUCUUGGCGGAACUUGACAAAUACACAGCUAAUUUGAUGAAGGUCUUCAGCAGUAGAGGAGGAGCUGCUGGAAGGAAGAUCAGAUUCCUCAUGGCUCCAACA